rnacentral:rRNA from 1 species
CACGUAGGGGCCAAGCGUUGUCCGGAUUCAUUGGGCGUAAAGAGCUCGUAGGCGGUUCCGUAAGUCGGGUGUGAAAACUCUGGGCUCAACCCAGAGACGCCACCCGAUACUGCGGUGACUCGAGUCCGGUAGGGGAGUGGGGAAUUCCUGGUGUAGCGGUGAAAUGCGCAGAUAUCAGGAGGAACACCAGUGGCGAAGGCGCCACUCUGGGCCGGCACUGACGCUGAGGAGCGAAAGCGUGGGUAGCAAACAGG